rnacentral:rRNA from 5 species
GAGACCUCAGGUCAGG